CAAGAAGCUAUAGUAUGCAGGGUGGCCACACACCAUCUCAGCACAUGGGAUGAACUGAUGGUUCUCCAACCCAUCAGGGAGCGAGAGGGUUAUCGACCCCAAACAGGAAUGACCCACAUUUAGGGAGCUGUCCCUCAUAUUCAAUUCUGCUAGAGGCUGAGCCUUUCGUGCCUCAGGGGACAAAGAAGUCGAACCAAUCAUUCCAGCUCUAUUUCUCCAGGACGACCAAAUCCCAAGGAUGGCAGCUCCUGUCAUAAGACCUGACAUCUGCUGCUUAUUUGAAUGGUUGUUUGGCAAGAGUUUAGAUUAGUCAUGGUGGUCAGAACUGGAGGAAACAAUUUGGUGGUCAUGGCAACCACAAUCCCUAUGGUACUGGCAUGAUGGAAAUAGCUCAUAAACGUGUGCUCCCUUCCUGAGUGGUUCAUGGCUGAGAUGAGAUGCUUCUUUAAGGUAAAGUCCCCAUGCUCCUCAAGAUCACCCUCCUGUCCCAUUAAUCUAAACCCACGUUGACUCUGUUGUUUCUUUUGUAACUCUU